UACGAAGGGGGCGAGCGUUGUUCGGAAUUACUGGGCGUAAAGGGCGCGCAGGCGGCUCAGACAGUCAGAUGUGAAAGCCCCGGGCUUAACCUGGGAACUGCAUUUGAUACUACUGAGCUUGAGUACGGAGAGGAUAGUGGAAUUCCCAGUGUAGAGGUGAAAUUCGUAGAUAUUGGGAAGAACACCGGUGGCGAAGGCGGCUAUCUGGACCGUAACUGACGCUGAGGCGCGAAAGCGUGGGGAGCAAACAGG
rnacentral:rRNA from 1 species